rnacentral:rRNA from 1 species
UUACGCUGUUAUCCCCUAAGGUAAUUUAGCUUAUAAUCAUUAAUAAUGGAUCAAAUAAAUAAUAAUUAUUAAUUAUAAUAAAGAAAGAGCUACAAUUAUCUUUCCAUCACCCCAAUAAAAUAAACUUGUAAAAUAACACCUUAACAAACCAAAAUAUAAUAAAAAUUUAUACAAACUCUAUAGGGUCUUCUCGUCCCAUAAAAAAAUUUAAGCUUUUUAACUUAAUAAUUAAAUUCAAAACAAAUUAAAUAAAGACAGAAUUUAUCUCGUCCAACCAUUCAUUCCAGCCUCCAAUUAAAAGACUAAUGAUUAUGCUACCUUUGCACGGUCAAUAUACCGCGGCCAUUAAAUUUAUUCAUUGGGCAGGUUAUACUUCAUAUAAAAUUCAAGAAGAGAUGUUUUUGUUAAACAGGCG